AGCAAGAACAAAGGAAGGAAAGAAGAACAAAAACCCUAGGUGGAAAAAUUCAAGGGAAAAGUGUGAAAAUUCAAGUAAUCAAGCAAUCAAAGGUAAAAUUUCUUGAUUUUGACUUGUGAUCUACCUUUCCCAUGCACUAUUUUGCAUUUUCCAUGGUUGAAUCACAUGAUUUCAUGAUGGGUAUCUUGCUGGCUGAACAUUUAGAGAGAAGUUUUGAUGCUUGAUUUGGUUAGAUUUUAAGAUAUUUUAGUGUUUUUAGUUAGUUAGUGAUGUGUAGCAUGAAAAUCAAGCAAGAAAAAUUCAUGUUCUUCCAUCACCCAUCAUUGGCUGAAUUCUCCAUGUGGAAUAUUGAGGAUGAUUUUGAUUUUAUUUCAAGUGAUUUGGUUAGGAAUUAAUGAUUUAUGGUGUGAGAAUCAAGUAGGAAAAAUUAUAGUGUUGAUGCACCCACCAUGGCUGAAUUUUCCAAGAGAAAAUGUGAGGAUGAUUUUGCCAUAUUUCAAGUUAUUUAAUUUGUGUUUGAUGAUUUGGAGUAUUGGGAGAAAAAUAGAAUUAUUUAGAGUUAAAUUGGAAAUAUUGGCCAAUUAAUCGAGUGAUAGAUAGAAUUAGGCCAAUACCGAUUUAAUUAGGGACCCAAUUGAAUUUGUGUAGAACAUCGUGUUUAGACAAUAAUCCGAACAAUUUGCAUCCCAUUUCAUACAUUAGUAUAAAGUCUGAAUUGAUUUUAUAACAAUUUAGCACAAUGUAGUAAAUGGCUUAUUGUGCAUUAUGUCUAAGUGGUGAGCAUUCUAGCAAAAGUAAAGAGAUAAUACCCGAGGAUCAAGAAUCGGAGUACUUGGAAUUCAACUCUCGAAAUAGUGAGUAACCUUAUCAUCAUCUUAAUUAUCUAAAGUAUGUUUUGUUCGAUUUUGUGAAUUUCAUGGAAAAUGAGUUAAAUGGUUAAUUUUUAGGUUUUACAAACAAAAUGUGAUUUAAUGAAAAUGAUUUUAUAAAAUUGUUUUAAAAUUGAAUGAUAAUUUGAAAAUAAAGUAAUUAGAGACUGUUUUUGCGUGUUGUAAAUUCAUGAUUCUAAUUGAUUGGCUUAUGGCAAUAUUGGCAUGAAUGGUUGAUUUGAUAAAUGUGUUGGAAAUGUAUAAAUUGUUGAUUUGCCUUGAAAGGUUGUACAAUAAACUAAAAUAAUUGCCAUGUCAUGCAAUUGCAAAUUUUAUUGUAUGGUGGGUUUAACCUGCUGCAGGGGGCGGGUUUUUUAUGGACUAGCCUAUUAGAGGGGCACAGAAUCCCAUUAUAUUUUACCUCGGUUGGAGAGGCAAGUAGGGUAACUUCCAAGGUAUAACUUUUAGAGUUCACUUCACGUCAAACCACCACGUGAGGGGGAACUCAACCAAUGCCAAGGAACGGCUAUGUUUUCAAAAUAAAAACAUGAUUUAUGCGUACAUAACUUUUAACAGCCUUGGCGGACUUUGUUGGGAUAGCCCUCGAUCAAGGCAUCCUUGAUAACUAGGUAUGAGAAUGAUUUUGGCACGAGCCAAUGUUUUAAGAAAUUCAUAAGCCAUGUUGAUUACUCGAUUUAUAUGAAUUGAUUUUAUUUGGUUGAAACAAGUUGAAAGGUGAUGAAUUACAGCAUGUUAAACUGUUUUAUCUGUCUCCAUUUACUCGACUUUAGAUAUUUUAGAUGGUAUUUGUUUACUCAUUGGGAUUAUAUAAUCUCACCACCCUCCUUUCCACCUAUUUCAGGCUCAAGAUAGUCUAUAGAUACCUGAUUUUAUCAAGGACUACCAUUAGAUUUGCAUCCUCCAAGCUGUAGGUUCACAGUCUUUCUUACUGUUGGUUAUUCGAGGGCCCACUUGUUACUGUAAAUUAAAUUAAAUACUUCGGCUUACUGUAUUAUGAUAUAUAUGAAUUUAUUUUGCUUUUACGUUGUAAAAAUUAUUUAUGCAGUAUUCUAAAAAUAUUAUUUUAUGAGAAAAUUGAAUAUUUUAUUCUAAUAGUCAUAAUUUCAUUUUAAACGAAUGUUUUAGACAUUCAAAUUUAUUUUUUAUUAUGAAUUAUGUGUUUUGUAUUCGCAUACUACAUUUUUAGCAGAUUUCGAGAUUUUUGAGAAAAAAUGACCAAAAUGCCCCUGUGAGAAAAAAAUUGUUUUUCUAUUGUUUUGAUUUGGAAAUAGUUUAUAAUCUUUCAAAACAUAAUUUUAGUGACUAAUGCUCACAGGGGAAGAGAGAAAAACUGAUGUGAAGCCUUGCGAGGUUACAAUUGACAUUCCGGGUAAUGAAUGUCUAUCGGGACGUCACGGCUGUUGUCACGAGCUCGAUGGGAGUUGCAGAUCGUGACAUAAUUAGUUAGCCUUAUUUAAUCCCAAUCAUGUCACUAAAUGUAUGUGACCCAUUAGGUUUCUAACAUGUUGGCAAUAAAUAUAAAUUCUAAUCAAAUAUCAAUUUGAUAAUUAAUUUAUAUUUAUCAAUCAUGAGCGGCAUCUACCAAUACAUCAUGACCACUCAAAUGUUAAAGAGCCAGUUAAAGAAUUUGACAAAGUCCUUUAGUGAUAAGCCUCUCAGUGCAAUACAGACCUUUCAUCAUAUAUCCCAAAUAUGUCAUUAAGCACGGCUCGGUGUCUACUUAUGACAUUCCAUAUUAGUUCUCAUAAUUCAUGACUAAUCUUAUGAAUUUAGGAAAUUAACUUUCCUCAAAUUCAUCAUGCUUUGGUCAAAGACUUUAUACAAGUUAAUCAAGAAUUAAGAACAAGUGAGGUACAUCUCCUUAUAUCACUUGGGGUGAUGAAUCCUCUCUUGACCACUCAUUCACCUUCACAUGUUUCAUGGCAUACCCAAAAAUAGCCUGUUUAGGCAUUUGGUCACCUCCAAACCUGUAGGGGUGAAAUCAAAGUAUGUCAUUCCCCAUACAAUAUGACCUAGUGUAUCAAGUCCAAGGACUAAUUGCACGACUAUCACAUGAGAACAUAUUCCAUAGGCAUUUAAAUGAAAUAUCAAAUGGAGUUCUCAUAGCGGGUCAAGUUCAGUGAACUUGUUCUUUAACAAACACCUACAUAUUAUCCUCAAGUAUCCCAUAUACUUCAAUCUAUGAGAUCGAUUUCUUACUUCCCAAGUAAGGAGGCUUAACAUGUAUCAGUCUUUGAGCAUUGUCAAUGCCUUGUCUUGACAAUACAAUGACGAGGAACAAUUUUAAGAACAUGGCUUUAAUGCAUAAUGAUCUCAUAAUUGUAACAACUUUACAAUUCUCUUGCGAGGCCUUUAUGUUCCAUGGGAUUCAUCCAAUUGGUACUUAAUAACUCCUUAUUAUUGUACUUACAUGAAGAAAAUCCUUUAUCACAUAUGGUUAUGCGAUUAAGUAUGCAUUAAAUGACAAUAUAUAUUCCUUGACCAAUCCAAUUGGCUCAAGGGCAUAUAACAACAAUCUCCCACUUGCAUUAGAGUCAAUUGCUAACGGAUCCAGUAUUGAACUUUUUUGCUUAGCAAUUGUGUCUCUACUAGGACAACUCAAAUUGCAAUAUUUGGGAAUAAGUUAAUUUACAUGUUUGACAAUCUCCAUUAUGAUAAUCAAAAUAGUAAUUUAGAUCACAACGAUACCUUGAUUCCAUUAUUAUGGCUCUUGUUGUUACUUUAACAACUCGAAAUCAUUUAUCGGUUCAUUAAACCAAUGAUACAAAUAUCUCUUCUUUUGUGGCCUAAACAAAAGGUUUGUAUCUGGUUACAAAUAUAAUCAUGCAGUUAUCUCUUAUUUUGGAACUAGUCCAAUAUAACUGCUUAAUCAUGACUUUAUGUCACUUUUAACAUUUAAGACUCUCUUUGUUAGACUCCUUUAACAUGUUAUCUGAAAUUAUUUUGUUGAGUCCCUUUUUAGGCUCUAACUCUUUUGUCUCAAUUUGUUUUUCUUACAUUGGAAAAUGUAUCUUAUACACUUUUAAUGAAUAACUUAUCUUCUCUCACUAACCUUAUGAUGUGCCCAAAAUAUUUUUAUUUUAUUCAAUGUAUUCAACUAUUUUGAAUUUAUUACAUUGAAUAAAGAUUAUUAUCCAAUCAUUCAUGUUGGAUUAUUUAGUAAACUCAUCUUAUAUGAGCAGUGCAUCAAUAUGCAUCCCAUUAAUGGUUUGUAUUUAGUGGAUUCAUUUCAUGAAUUAUGCAUCCUUAUGCAUCCCAUUAAAUCAGUCUUUAUGGGUAGAUCUUAUCUAUUGGAUUUCAUAAUUUCAUAACGUUUGACCUUUAAAUUAUCAUUAGCACCCACUAUUUCUAUCAUGUAUAGAAAUCUUACUAGGUAAACUUAUUUACUUUCUUUUGGGGCAUUAUAUCUAUAACUUUUAUGUAUAGAUACAUAUUAUAAGUUGUUCAUCAUUGGUUAUGGGAUGACAUCCUAUCAAAGGUUAGUUCAUGGGCUUAAUUGGGGUUGGAAUGCUUUGUGAUUCAUCUCUUAUGAGUUCAAUAUGAUAAUCAAUUAUUAUUUAGUUCUAACCAAUCUUAAUUUAAAUUUAAGAUUUCAUUAAGAAUGCUCCUUGACUAAAUAUGUUCAUAAUCCUAUUAUGAAUUCAUUGAGUUAGAAAUUAAUUUUAUCUAUGUCAACUCAUUAAUUUCCUUUUUGAUUCAUAAUUAAAAGAAAAAUAAUCUCACAAUGAUCUUAUCACUAUGACUUAGUAUUGAUUAUCAUAUAUACAAGGUUAUACUUACAAAUAAAUAAUUUAGAACAAUUCUAAAAUAAAAUGAGAUGUAAUGUAAAUAUAUAAAUAUAUAUAUAUAAGCUAAGCAUCUCAUGCUAGCAAAAUAUAAAUCUAUGUUUCCUAAACAUAAAAUAAAAUAUUGAGCCAUAGGCCCAAAACCAAAACAUCUCAUCUUAGCAAUCAUGCCAUGAAAACAUUCAAUGUUCUAUAAUUAUUUAUUGUUCCACAAUCUAUUCUAGGUCGACAAGCUUGCUCACCAUCAACUAAGUUUGUCCCUUUCAUGAUCCUAUUCUUCACUGCUCCUUGUCAUUAGUUCCUUCAAUAUGUCAUACAUAUUAAAACCAUUAAAAAGAGUAAGGUAUCAUAUACUAAGUAGUGAAAAAUAAAUCAUUAUAUGAUUCAUACCUGAUGUGGAAGCUUUCUUUUGUUUCUUCCCUUUGAUGGAUUUAAGAUAAUCCUUGCAAUUACGCCUCCAAUGCCCUAGUUUGCCACAGAAAUGGCAUUUGUCAUUGUCCUUGUCUUUCUUCACUCCUCCAAUAGGCUUCAUACCUUUUGAAGUUGAUGCCUUCGCAUCCUUGUCUUUCUUAGAAAAUUUUAUUUUUCUUAGAAGAGACAAGAUGAAUUGAAGGCUUCUCCUUCACAAUGUUAUUCUCAGCCUAUGUAAGCAUAUUCAAUAAGCCCAAAAGGGUUACCUUAAUCUUGUUCAUGUUGAAGUUCAACACAAACUAUGAAUAGCUCUCUGGUAGCGAAGAAAGUACAAUGUUUAUGCUCAAAUCAUGAUCCAUAACCCAACCCAACUGCUCAAGUCGAGUGAUAUAUCCUUUUAUCUUAAGCACAUGAGGCCUUACUAUGCUUCCUUCAUACAUCUUACAUCAAAACAAUUCCCUUGAAAUGUCGAAUCUCUUUAUGCAACUUUUCCUAUCGAACAUUUCUCUAAGGUUUAGGAUAAUAUCCAGAGCAUUCAUAGCUUCAUGUUGUUUUUAAAGAUCUGGAGCCAUACCAGCCAACCUCACAUAUGUGGCUUGAUCGAGAUCAUCCAUGUAAGCUCUAUAGGCCUCAUUUUCCUUAUUUGAAGCAUCAUCGCUAGGUUCCUUGGGAACAAGACCAUGUAGAACAUAAGCCUUUUUCUCUUGUUUCAAGACAAUCUUGGUAUUGUGAAACCAGUCAAUGAAAUUUGGGCCUAUUAACUUGUUUGCAUCAAGCAUGCUUCUAAGUAAUAAACUAUUCGCCAUGAUAGAUUUAUAUUCUAUAUAAACCAACAUAUAUGAUUAUUAGUCAUUAACGUAAAUUAUAUAAUCAUAAAGGCAAGAUUUUAGAAUCUUAUGUGAUUAUUCUCAAUAUUUUAUCAAAAUAAUAGCCUUCCUCUAUUGUUUCGAGAAAUUUAACCUUUAAACUUCUUAUUGAGCUAGGACCCUUUUCAUCCCACCAUGACCUUGAGUGACUCAACAAGCCAUAAUGAAACCAAUUAGGUAGGUAACUUAGCUUACUAAUUGUAUCUUAUUCAACUCCUAGAUUAGUUAGGUGACAACUCCUUGUCUAAAUGUAUCAUAUACAUUUUCUCUAACUAUGCCUCUAAUACUAUGUGGUCAUGUGUGACACAUCUGAACAACAUGAUACUAGUUGAGUAAGACCCACCAAUAGCUCAAACGUACUCGUGUAAAAGUUUGGCCUUGAGUGACUCAACAAGCCUCCAAUUAAAAGAGCAGCCCGAUUCUCUUGUUAAAUGGUAGAAGGCAACUUUUUUGACUCAAUAUUUUAAUGAGAGAUUUUAUUUAUUAAUUCAUUAAUUAAGGUCUCAUUGAUUGGGCAUUGUUGACAUGCAUAGCAUUUAUUGCAUUUCACUUAUAUCAUAUAUAUAUAUAUUGAAAAAUAAAUUUAUCUCAUUCCAACUGCUAAGAUGAUUAUGGACUUUACUAAUUCUAAUUUCCUCGAGCCAUUAAGGAAAUUAGUUGGUCAAAUUCCUAGGGCAUUUACAUAAACAUUGUCUUCAAGCUUUGCUUGUAAUCUCCUUCACUCUCCAUGGCGCUUUUGGAUCUCCAUCUUCAAGUUACAAAAAUUUUUCUAUCUAACCUUAGUUUUACACUUUGAUGUAACUAAUUGCAUUUUAUAAUCAAAGGGAGUCAAGUGAAAAAAGAAAUUUACAACCCAAAGAAAAUAGAGAUAAGGCAAGAUGCGCAGACCCUAUUUUAGAAUAAAUACCAUGAGAAAUAAAUUUAACCAUCCAUAACCUAAUCUUCUAAGGUCUAAGUCCAUAAUCAUCCCUAUGCUUUAUAAUCACAAGUAAAAGCAUAAAAUAAAGGUAAACUCAAUAUCACUUGGUGAUCUUGUGUGUUAUUUCAGAAAAGCAUCAAUUAAUUCACUUAAAGUGCUAAACUCAAAUUAUUUGGUAUUUUAUAUUUCAAUUUAGUGUUUAAGAAAUUCCCAAUUUCAAAACACUUAACGUAAAUCAUUUACUUCUUAUUUCUUAUUAAAAAUUCAUUAAAAUAAAAUUUUCCUUUUUAAGACUUUCCAUUUUAAUUCUUUCCAUAAUUAAAACUCCUUUCAACCUUGGAAACCUCUUUAUUUUAGGCAAACUUCCUAAAAUAUUGUGAGACCUUGACCUUUAUAGACUCAUAGUUAGUAAUAGACGCGACAUCCCUGAUCAGAGGUAAUUUCGUCAUUUCCUUAGUAAGCCCCUAAAAGUAAGUUUUAAACAAUAUUAAGGCCUAAGUAGGCCUAAGGCAUAAAUGGAUGAUUAAAUAUAGGUAAAAUGACAAGGGAAAUAAAAAUGGUGAUGAUUUUUACGGUAUGGGCAAAAUGGUCAUUUUUCACCUUGAGUAAAAAUUUAUAGGUUUUCAUGAACUUGAGCAUUUCUAGGCCAUUAUGGACCUUGUCCUAGUGUCAAAAGAGUAAAAGAUUGCAUAAAGGAUUGGAAGAGAACAAGCUAAUUUGUGGAGGGGCAUUUUCGUAAUUUAAAUGAAGUGGAUAAGCAUGGGCUAUAAAUAUCUUGUUCUUCCAGCAGCUUCUUCAUUCUUCAGCAGCUUUUCUCUUUCUUCUUCCUUUCAUCUCGCGUUGUUUUCAUCCUCUAUGAAAGCUUGAUAUGAAAGCUCCAUAACCUCCCUUAAAAUAGCUCCACUUUUCAUGCCUUGGUGCACUCCUUUCAUAAACCCUUGUGCUCUUCCACUCUCUCACUUUAAAACCCUUGAAAAAAAAACCUUGUUUCCAUACUCUCUCUCACUAGUUAGGUGUUUUAGAGAGAGAAAGAGGAAGCUUUGAUAAUAUCUUGAAAGUUUUUGGGAAGAAUUUCAAAUACAAGCUACCAAGGUGAGUAGUACAGUAGAAUUGAGUUUUAAUGUUGAAAACGAUUAGUGUUUAGACUUGGUGGUGAUUUGGUAGUUGGGGCUGUUCAUUCACUUUAAAGUGAUUAAGAUAGUGAACUUAGAUAGCCACUUAAAUGGCAACUUGAAAGCUAGCUAAGAGAAAACUUUUAGAAUUUGUAAGUAUGUGGCUUGAAUUAAUGGUGAUGCUAAUAUGAUAACAGGUUCCAACAAAGCCCCAUCGCCCCAUUUGGACAAUUAGAAAAGUAGAGUCGACUAAAGGUCCAACAAGAUACUGGUGAGUGAACUUGCAUAUCAAAACUAUUUUGGGAACGUGAAUGUAUUUGUACAAUGCCUUUGAAUGAGCUUAUUCAACUUUUCUUAAAAAUGGGUACCUUGGGAACAAGCUUUUGAUUAUUGUCUUUAUAUAUGACAUGUGGCUGUUAUGGAUUCUUGUUCUAUGUCAUUGUGUUGAUAUACAUAUAUGUUGUGCAUUGGUGGCUAACAUGGUGUGAUAAUGGUAACCGCGCGUGUGCACGAUGCGAGGGGAUGCACAUGCCAGUGAUGAUGGUGGUGAAGGUGUUGGAUGAUGAAAGUGCCCGUGUGCACGAUGUGGGGGGAUGCACACAAUGCCACUAAUUGUGCACGAUGUGGGGGGAUACACACAAUGACUCCGAUUAUGUGCACGAUGUGGGGGGAUGCGCAUGAGCUGGAUGAGAUAAUAGUGGUAUUGGUAUUUAUCCAUGUAUGAAUAUGUAUAUAUUUAGAGAAUGAAAACUCAUAAAUAUGGUUUAUAGUUGAAAUGCAUAUGAAUUUGGCAUGUUGAACUUUGGAAAUCUUUAUGUGUUUCAUGUUGAUUUUGUUAUUUCAGUAGGAUGGCUUUUUCUUGAAGGGAAUGGAAACUUUUUUCUUGGUGCUCUGAUUCUCGCUGUAGCGAGAAACUCUCGGGUUUUGGAGGGGUAACGCUAGUUGAAAUCUCGCUGCAGUGAGAAUCAUUCUCGUUGUAGCGAAAACUUUUUGUUUUAUGCAGCAAAAAACUUUCUAUUUUGCUCCUUAUUUUGUUCAAUUGCUGUCCUAUUUUCCACUUUUUUGGUACCAUAGUUGAGCAUGGACUUCUAACAUUAAGAAAUUAAUUAGUUAAGUUUGAAAUGAUGAGGUUUGGUGAGAAACCCUUGGUUAGUUGAGAAACCCUUGUUCGGCUAAUAACUUUAAUCCUAACUUCGCUGCAGCAAGAAUGCCUUUUCGCUGCAGCGAGGACCCAUCGUUUAUUCGACUUGAUUCGCAUGAAUGCUAUUAAAGUUUUCACUCUAAAUCCUUUGUUGAGCAUGGACCCUUUUCAUAAAGUGAUUUACUCAUGUGGGGUUUACAUGAGGGGUUUUAAUAAGAACUAAAACAAAUUGCAUUGUUUUUUUAAAAAAAUGAAUGCAUCAUGAUUUCGUAAACAUUCCUUAUUAUUUGCUUGUUCCCUUCUUGUUCACUCACUGAGUUUAUACUCAUUAUUUUCAACUUCAUGUUUUCAUAUCAAGAAGUAGCCGGUAACUAGGACGAGGUCACCUCGUAGACUUGUAUCAAUCUUUUAGUAGGUAUCAAUGGCAUUCGGUAACUGCACCUUCGCUAUGGUUGCUCCACUAGAAGUCUAGAGUCCUUUUUGUUGAACACACGUGCCUUGAUGUAAAUUGUUAAGACGUGUAUAUGUCUUAAGCAAUAGAUGUUUAUAUUGUUUAAUGUUGCCACUAUGUAAUGGCAUGGAUGAUAUUAUUUUGAAUCAUAUAAAUGUGAAUAUAUGGUUUCGAUAAAAAAGUUUUGACAUACUCGUUAGUAAGAACUUCGAAAUACAAUGGUAAGAACGAAUGAUGAAAUUGAUGAAUGGAGUCACAUAGAUAGGCUUGCUUGGGCUUAGUGGGCUAUGUCCAUUGGGCGCAUGCACCUGUCAUGGCUUGGGAAUUAGGUCGUGACAGACUUGGUAUCAGAGCCCUAGGUUGUCUAGGUCCUAGGACUUCCUUUUGUUGGUCCAGCGGAGUGUCGGGUCUUUAUUUGGAAACUUUGGUUGUGAAGUGUGAAUUGCAGCACAUUUUACAACCAAGUGACCGCAUAAAUUCCCUAUCUUAGAAACUACAUUUUUGCCUUAAAUAUGAUUAUAAAAUGUGUUUACUAAUAGGUGUUUGCUCUUGUCUAGGUAAGAAUGUCGCCUAAGACACGAGCCACCUCAACACGGAUGGGGGAGCAAAAUGCUCAUGAUGCGCUGACAAAUAGGCCACGGGCAUCCACCCUUAGGGGGCAAGGUAGACGUGGUAGGGCCACUAGGCCAGUGAAGGCAAAUACGCCUGUGAGUAGAAGAGAAGAAGGACAAUCUUUGGGUGAUGUCGAUAGACAACCAGUUGGGGGCAUUACCAUUGAUGACUUGGCUGUAGGCUUGCAGGGAGUUAAUCAGGUUGUAGAGAUGAUGGCAGCCCAUAUGAACGAUAUCUAGAGGGUAGUGGAAGGGAGACCUACAAUACAAGAAUCCCCUAGUUCCCAAGGAAUGGCCGACAGCCAACAUAAUGAGGUUAAGAGGGGUUACUUAGAGAUUUCUCUUCCUGAUUUCCUGAAGCUUAAGCCUUCGUCAUUUUCAGGGUCUGAUGCAUCGAAGAAACCCCAAGUUUUCUUAGAUAAGAUGGAGAAGAUUUGUAAAGCCUUGGGAUGUUCCAGUGUCUGGUCAGUCGAGCUAGCCGCCUUCCGAUUAGAAGACGUGGCGCAAGAGUUGUAUAGUUCUCUAUGUAGAGGUAGACCAACGGAUGCAGCAUCGUUGACUUGGAGUGAAUUUAGUGUAGCCAUUUUAGAUCAAUUUUUACCAUUCAGUGUACGUAAUGUUAGAGCUAGGGAGUUUGAAGCUUUGGUGCAGACCUCGAGUAUGAUGGUGUCUGAUUAUGACAUCAAAUUCAUGCAAUUGUCUCGAUAUGCGCCUUAUCUAGUUUCCACUGAGGAGAUAAAGAUUCAAAGGUUUGUGGAUGGGCUAGUGGAGCCAUUGUUUAGGGUUGUGGCCUCCCAAGAUUUCAAUACCUACUUCGCAGUAGUGGAUUUCGUUCAACGAAUUAAGAUCAGGACCAAUGAGAGUAAGGCUGUGAAGGAUAAAGCAAAGAGGGCUAAGACAUAGGGCUAUCAAGGUCGUAGAGAUUUCAGUGGUGGUGUUUCGUCCUCUAGCCAUCAGGGUCCACAGAGGGAUUCACGAUUAUCCCAAUAAGAGAGUGACCUGCCUAGUGCUAGUGUUGGGGCGAGACAGAGAACUUUUAGUGCUAGGAGGCAGCAAGAUUCGAGACAGAGUAGUCAAGUUAUCCACCCUUGCAUACUUGUGGGAAAAGACAUAGUGGAUGAUGCUUACAUACUGCGAUAGUUUGUUAUGGGUGUGGUCAACCUAGACAUAUUAGGAGGAAUUAUUCGAUGGCUCAUCAGUCACAAGAUUCUACUCAUGGUUCUACCCAACCAACUUCGUCUGCUCCUUCAAUUGCUGCCACAUCUGGUAGGGAGGCUAGUGGAUCAAGAGGUAGAGGUGUUGGUACUUCCUCUCAGGGCAAGCCAUUUGGGUCCGGACGUUAGAGUUCUGUUGGUAGAGGCUAGGCAAGGGUGUUUGCUUUAACAUCGCAAGAGGCCCAAACAUCCAAAGCAGUGGUAUCAGGUACCCUUUCGGUUUGUAAUAUGAAUGCUCGAGUCUUAUUUGAUCUUGGUGCUACCCACUCUUUUAUCUCUCCAUAUUUUGCAUCUCGUUUGGAUAAGGACAUGUUAGGAGAGAAGAAUAAUUAGUAAUGUCUACUCUUGUAAAGGAAGUAUUUGUAGCUGAAUGGGAAUAUGAGUCUUGUGUAGUUCGAGUUAGAGACAAGGAUACUUUGGUAAAUUUAGUGGUGUUAGACACUUUGGAUUUGGAUGUGAUCUUGGGGAUGGAUUGGUUAUCACCCUACCAUGCUAGUGUGGACUGCUAUCAUAAAUUGUUUAGAUUUGAUUUCUCGGGUGAACCAUCAUUUAGUAUUCAGGAGGAUAGAAGCAAUGCUCCAACCAAUUUGAUAUCGGUCAUGUCUACCGGAAGGUUAUUACGAUAAGGUUUUAUAGGUUACUUGGCUGUGGUAAGAGAUACUCAAGCGAAAGUUGGAGAUAUAAGCCAAGUGUCGGUGGUGAAUGAGUUCAUGGACGUAUUUCCUGAGGAACUACCAGAUUUGCCUCUCGAGCAGGAGAUUGAAUUUUGCAUAGAUUUGAUUCCCGACACUAGACCUAUAUCCAUACCCCCAUACAAAAUGGCACUUGUGGAGCUUAAAGAGCUUAAGGAUCAAUUAGAAGAUUUAUUGGAUAAGGGCUUCAUCCGUCCUAGCGUCUCACCAUGGGGAGCACCGGUGUUAUUUGUGAAGAAGAAAGAUGGGUCACUUAAGCUAUGCAUUGACUACCGAUAGCUUAAUAAAGUGACGGUGAAGAAUAAGUAUCCCCUUCCAAGAAUAGAUGAUUUAUUUGAUCAAUUACAAGGAGCACAAUGUUUCUCUAAGAUAGAUCUGCGAUAUGGGUACCAUCAGUUGAGAAUCCAGAAAGAAGAUAUACCCAAGACUGCAUUUCGAACAAGAUAUGGGCAUUACGAGUUCUUGGUGAUGUUAUUCGGGCUUACGAAUGCCCCUAAGCAUUUAUGGAUUUGAUGAAUUGAGUGUUCAAGCCUUAUUUGGACAAGUUCGUAGUAGUGUUUAUUGAUGAUAUCUUGAUCUACUCGAGGAGUAGGGAGGGACACGAACAUCAUCUUAAGAUAGUGCUCCAAAUUUUGAGAGAACAUCGAUUGUAUGCCAAGUUUUCCAAGUCUUAGUUCUGGUUUGAAAGUGUUGCAUUCUUGGGACAUGUGGUAUCUAAGGAUGGGGUACAAGUUGAUCCAAAAAAAGUUGAAGUAGUGGAAAAGUGGCCAAGGCCAACAUCAGUUACGGAGAUUAGAAGCUUUUUGGGUUUGGCUAGCUUUUAUCGUCGAUUUGUUAAGGACUUCUCCAAAAUAGUUGCCCCUCUGACUAAGCUGACACGUAAGGACAUAAAGUUUGAGUGGUCAGAUGCUUGUGAGAAUAACUUUGAGAAGCUUAAGGCAUGUCUUACCAUAGCUCCAGUAUUAAGCCUACCGCAAGGCACAGGGGGUUAUACAAUAUUCUGUGAUGCAUCGCGGGUUGGUUUAGGAUGUGUAUUAAUGCAGCAUGGGAAGGUAAUUGCGUAUGCAUCAAGGAAACUUAAAAGACAUGAGCAAAAUUACCUCGCACACGAUUUGGAGAUGGCAACAAUCGUGUUUGCCUUAAAGAUUUGGAGGCAUUACUUAUAUGGUGAGACUUACGAGAUAUACACGAACCACAAAAGUUUAAAGUAUAUAUUUUAGCAGAGGGAUCUUAACUUGCUGCAACGUAGGUGGAUGGAGUUGUUAAAGGAUUAUGAUUGUACUAUUAUUUACCAUCCCAGUAAGGCAAAUAUAGUGGUGGAAGCCUUGAGCUGAAAAUUGAUGGGGAGCUUGGCACAUAUUUCUACAAAUAGGAGAUCCUUGAUUAGGGAGAUUCAUAACUUGGGAGACAUGGGUGUGCAUUUGGAAGUUUCAUAGGCAAAUGCAUUGUUAGCACAUUUUAGAGUGCGGCCUAUUUUAAUGGACAUGAUUAAAGAAGCACAAGGUAAAGAUGAGUUUAUGGCUAAGGCCUUAGAGGAUCCUUAAGGAAGGAAAGGGGAAAUGUUUACUAAGGGCACAAAUAGACUGUUGAGGUAUGGAACUAGACUUUAUGUGCCCGAUAGUGAUGGAUUGAGGAGAGAAAUAUUGGAGGAAGCGCACAUGGAAGCCUAUGUGGUACAUCUAGGGGCUACAAAGAUGUAUCAAGAUUUGAAGGAAGUGUAUUGGUGGGAAGAACUCAAGAAAGAUGUAACUGAGUUCGUCUCUAAGUGCCUAGUUUGUCAACGAGUUAAGGUUAAGCAUCAAAAGCCUGCGAGGCUACUACAGCCAUUACCAGUGCCCGAAUGGAAGUGGGAGCAUGUAGCAAUGGACUUCGUAACGGGCUUGCCUCAAACUAAUGGGGGCUAUGACUUGAUUUGGAUAAUAGUAGACUAGUUAACGAAAUCAGCUCAUUUUCUUUCGGUUAAGACUACUUAUGGUGGUGCCAAGUAUGCUCGAGUUUAUGUGGAUGAGAUAGUACGGCUGCAUGGUAUCCCUAUUUCUAUAGUAUCUGACAAAAGAGCUCAGUUCACCAGUAGGUUCUGAGGAAAGUUGCAGGAAGCGUUGGGCACUAAGUUAGACUUCAGCAAAGGUUUCGACCCUCAGACCGAUGGACAAUCUAAACAGACAAUACAAACAUUGGAAGAUAUGUUGAGGGCUUGUGUAAUAGAUCUUGGGGUCAGGUGGGAUCAAUAUCUACCCUUAGUGGAGUUUGCCUACAAUAACAGUUUCCAAACUAGCAUCCAAAUGGCAACAUUUGAGGCAUUAUAUGGAUGGAGAUGUAGGUCACCCAUUGGAUGGCUAGAGGUCGGAGAAAGUAAACUUUUAGGGCUUGAGUUGGUGCAGGACGCCACUUAGAAGAUACAUAUGAUUCUGCAAAAGAUGUUGUCAGCACAAAGUAGGCCAAAGUCAUAUGCUGAUAAUAGGUAGAGAGACUUAGAGUUUUAAGUGGGGGAUCACGUGUUCCUAAAGGUCUCACCAACAAAAGAGGUAAUGAGGUUUGGCAAGAAAGGAAAAUUAAGUCCUCGGUAUAUAAGACCCUACAAGAUCUUAGAAAGGGUUGGAGCAGUGGCUUAUCGUUUGGCGUUACCACCAGACCUCUCAAAUAUUCACCCCGUAUUCCAUGUGUCAAUGCUUAGAAAAUAUAACCCAGAUCUAUCUCAUAUAAUACGGUAUAAAACCAUCCAAUUGCAAGAUGAUCUAACCUAUGAGGAGCAACCAGUGGCCAUCCUUGAUAAGCAAGUCAAAAAGCUUUGUUCAAAGGAUGUAGCCUCAAUGAAAGUAUUGUGGCGAAACCAUACUAGUGAAGAGGUAACGUGGGAAGCCAAGAAGGGGAUGCGAACCAAAUAUCCACACCUCUUUGAUACUUAGAGGUACGUUAUCUUAUAGUUGAAUUUAAAUUCGGGGAUCAAAUUUCUCUAAGUGGGGGAGAAUGUGAGACCUUGACCAUUAUAGACUCAUAGUUAGUAAUAGAUGCGACAUCCCUAAUCAAGGAUAAUUUCGUCAUUUCCUUAGUAAGCCCUCAAAAGUAAGUUUUAAAUAAUAUUAAGGCCUAAGUAGGCCUAAGGCAUAAAUGGAUGGUUAAAUAUGGGUAAAAUGAUAAAUGGAUAGUCAUUUUUAACCUCGAGUAAAAAUUUAUAAGUUUUCAUGAACCCGAGCAUUUCUAGACCAUUAUGGAAGUUGUCCCAGUGUCAAAAGAGUAAAAGAUUGCAUAAAGGAUUGGAAAAGAACAAGCUAAUUUGUAGAUGGGCAUUUUCGUAAUUUAAAUGAAGUGGAUAAGCAUGGGCUAUAAAUAUCUUGUUCUUCCAGUAGCUUUUUCAUUCUCUAGCAGCUUUUCUCCUUCUUUUUUCUCUCAUCUCACGUUGCUUUCAUCCUCCAUGAAAGCUUGAUAUGAAAGCUCCAUAACCUCCCUUAAAAUAGCUCCACUUUUCAUGCCUUGGUGCAUUCCUUUCACAAACCCUUGUACUCUUCUACUCUCUCACUUUAAAACCCUUGAAAAAAAAACCUUGUUUCCAUACUCUUUCUCACUAGUUAGGUGUUUUAGAAAAAGAAAGAGGAAGCUUUGAUAAUAGCUUGAAAGUUUUUGGGAAGAAUUUCAAAUACAAGCUAUCAAGGUGAGUAGUACACUAGAAUUGAGUUUUAAUGUUGAAAAUGAUUAGUGUUUAGACUUGGGGGUGAUUUGUUAGUUGGGGUGGUUCAUUCACUUUAAAGUGAUUAAGAUAAUGAACUUAGAUAGCCACUUAAAUGGCAACUUGAAAGCUAGCUAAGAUAAAGCUUUUAGAAUUUAUAAGUAUGUGGCUUGAAUUAAUGGUGAUGCUAAUGUGAUAAUAGGUUCCAACGAAGCCCCAUCACCCCAUUUGGACAAUUAGAGAAGUAGAGUUGACUAAAGGUCCAACAAGAUACCGGUGAGUGAACUUGCAAUUCAAAACUGUUUUGGGAAUGUGAAUGUAUUUGUAUAAUGCCUUUGAAUGAGUUUAUUCAACUUUUCUUAAAAAUGGGUACCUUGGGAACAAACUUUUAAUUAUUGUCUUUAUGUAUGACAUGUGGCUAUUAUGGAUUCUUGUUCUAUGUCAUUGUGUUGAUAUACAUAUAUGUUGUGCAUUGGUGGCUGACAUGGUGUGAUAAUGAUAACCAUGCGUUUGCACGAUGUGGGGAGAUGCACAUGCUGGUGAUGACGGUGGUGAGGGUGUUGGAUGAUGAAAGUGCCCCUGUGCACGAUGUGGGGGGAUGCACAAGAUCUGGAUGAGAUAGUGGUAUUGGUAUUUAUCGAUGUAUGUAUAUGUAUAUAUAUUUAGAGAAUAAAAACUCAUAAAUAUGGUUUAUGGUUGAAAUGCAUAUGAAUUUGGCAUGUUGAUUUUGUUAUUUCAGCAGGAUGGCUUUCUCUUGAGGGGAAUAGAAACUUUUUUCUUGGUGCUCUGAUUCUUGCUGCAGCGAGAAACUCUUAGGUUUUGGAGGGGUAACACUGGUCGAAAUCUCGCUGCAACGAGAACGUUACUGUAGCAUUUCACUGCAUUCUCGCUGUAGCGAAAAACUUUUUGUUUUGCUCCUUAUUUUGUUCGGUUGCUAUCCUAUUUUCCACUUCUUUGGUACCAUAGUUAAGCAUGGAUUUCUAACAUUAAGAAAUUAAUUAGUUAAGUUUGAAAUGAGGAGGUUUGGUGAGAAACCCUUAGCCAGUUGAGAAACCCUCGUUCGGCUAAUAACUUGAAUCCUAACUUCGCUGCAGCGAGAAUGCCUUUCCGCUGUAGUGAGGACCCGUCGUUUAUUUGACUUAAUUCGCAUGAAUGCUAUUAAAGUUUUCACUAUCCAAAUCCUUUGUUGAGCAUGGACCCUUUCCAUAAAGUGAUUUACUCAUGUGGGGUUUACAUGAAGGGUUUUAAUAAGAACUAAAACAAAUUGCAUUGUUUUAAAAAAAAAUGAAUGCAUCAUGAUUUCGUAAACAUUCCUUAUUGUUUGCUUGUUCCCUUCUUGUUCACUCACUGAGUUUAUACUCACUGUUUUCAACUUCAUGUUUUCAGAUUAAGAGGCAGUCGGUAACUAGGAUAAGGUGUCCUCGUAGACUUGUAUCCAUCUUUUGGUAAGUAUCAAUAGCAUUCAGUAGCUACACCUUCACUAUGGUUGCUCCAUUGGAAGUCUAGAGUCAUUUUUGUUGAACACACGUGCCCUGAUGUAAAUACUUAAAACGUGUAUAUGUCUGAAGCAAUAGAUGUUUAUAUUGUUUACUGUUGCCACUAUGUAAUGGCACGGAUAAUAUUAUUUUGAAUCCUAUAAAUGUUAAUAUAUGGUUUUGAUAGAAAAGUUUUGACAUACUCGUUAGUAAGAACUUCGAAAUACAGUAGUAAGAACGAAUGAUGAAAUCGAUGAAUGGAGUCACAUAGAUAGGCUUGCUUGGGCUUAGUGGGCUAUGUCCAUUGGGCCCAUGCACCGUCAUGGCCUGGGAAUUGGGUCGUGACAAAUAUAUCUAAGACAACAUUUUAAUUUCUAACAUUUAAAACAUGGACUAGUUUCCUAAAUUGUAUGUUGUUCAAGUUACCUAAAUGGUGACUUAACAAAUUUUUGGAAACUUCUAGUCAAACCAAAAUUUUAAGGAAAGUCCAAUGCUAUCAAAUAACUUUAGGAAUUUUUUCUAAAGUAGGAAACUAUUUCCUAUGAAUUUCCCAAAUUAAAAUACUAUCCUUAAUUUUAGGAAUUCCUUUUAAAGUAGGAAUCAAUUUCCUAUUUUUUUAUGAAUCACUCAAAAUUAAAAUUCUAUCUUUAAUUUUCGGAAUUGCUUUUAAAGUAGGAAACAAUUUCCUAUUUUUUUUGAAUCACCCAAAAUUGAAAUAGAUGGUAUUUAAAUGCUCUUAAAACUCCAUAAAUCAUUAGUCAAACUCAUGAAAAAGCUGCUAAAACUCUCCAGCAAGUGUGUUUAACAAUUAAACACAAAAUUCAUGAAGAAUUAAGCUACCAAAAUCGAUCAUAGCUACUCAAAAUUUUCUGCAUUGAAUCUUUGUUUUUAUCUUUUAAAACUCGAAAACAUGAUUUUUAUGAACCUUUUUCAUACUAAAUCAAGUUGGGCCAAAACAUGCAGUUAUUUAAUUUGAUAAAACUAAUUUUUAACAAUUAAAAACUGCUCAUAACACUUACCCAAUGUUAGUAAAAAAUAAUCAACACAUUAGUCUCCAAAACACCUCAAAACCAUUCAGUUUUAACUUGGCUUUGCAAGCCUUUUAAUCCAUUCAUUAAUUCUUCAACUAAACAUGAUUUUAAACUUUUUAAAACAUGUUUUAACGAAUUAAUUACAUGCUGUCUAGAUUUGAAUUAAAACAAAAAACAAAUUUUAAAGAAAGCAUUUAAAAUUGAUAUAUACCAAAUCAACACACAAAUCAAUCCUAUUGAUUAUCACCAAGAAUCAAGCAUUCAAAUUACAUGAGAAACAUCAAACAAAGGCUUAGAUACCACUACUAGGAUUCGACCUCAUGCUCAAAUAUGAAAAUAAUCAAUAAAUUAAAAAAUAUAAUGCAGCGGUAUAAUAAACUAGCAUUUAAUUAGAGAAGUAGCCGAAUCCUACAAGAUCAAUGUUUGUGUUUUCAUGAAAUUUUUAAUUUAAUUAUGAACAUUCAUAAGUUUAAGAGUUACAUAACUUGCUCUAGAUAUCAUAAUCAAGAGCCAAUUAAAUCAAAAUCUUUGCUUCUUCACCUUUAGGAUUUGCCAAAUCUUUAGCAACCCAAGUGUUUGGCAUCUAAUAGUAAUCCACACAAUGACUGAAUAAGACCUUUUCGAAGGUAGGAUUUUUUUCCUUGUGCUAGUAAGUUUUGUUUCUUAAACAAAAAGACCAAAAAUCCUUGUCGAAUCUUAUUUUUGUCAAACAAAGAAAACUAUUUUCCUUUUCUUAUUUUAUAAAAAGGUUGAGAAGCAGUUGGAGGCUUAGAGUUUUAGUUUGCUAAUAUAAUAUAUUUAUAUAGCCAAAGUAAGUUGUAACCCUAAAUACAAUAGUUGUAUUUUAAUUUAAUUAAGACUUUGUGAACUUAAUUAAUUUUUCACUUUAUUUUGGCCUUUUUCAAUUAAGUCCAACUUAAUUAAUUGUCCUUAUUUAAUCUCAAUCAUGUUACUUAAUGUGUGUGACCCAUUAGGCUUUUAACAUGUUGGCAAUAAAUAUAAAUCCUAAUCAAAUAUCAAUUUGAUAAUUGAUUUAUAUUUAUAGAUCAUGAGCGGCAUCUAGCAAUACAUCAUGAUCACCCAAAUGUUAAAGAGUCAAUUAAAGAAUUUGAUAAAGCCCUUUAGUGAUAAGCCUCCUAGGACAAUACGUGUGAUACCCAGUACUCUCGUAUUGUGAAACCUCGACCUCCAUAGACUCAUAACUAGAAGUAAACGUGAUAACAUGAACCAAGGGUAAUUUUGUCAUUUCUCAUGGUGAGCUCCUAGAAGUAGUUUUCUAAUGUUACUAAGGUCUAAGUAAGCCUAAGGAAUAAAUGAAUGAUGAUAAAAUAAAUGAAGAAGAUAGAAACACUUAUAAUUUCCAAAGUAGGGGCAAAAUGGUCAUUUUGCAUCUUCGAUCUAAAUUUUUACGUUUUCAUGAAAUCGAGUAUUCUUAGACUAUUUUGGACUUGUUUUAGUGUUAAAAAAGUAAAAAGGUUGCACAAAGGAUGGGAGGAAGACAAAGCCACCAUGUUAAGGGCAUUUUGGUAAAUUCAAUGAAAAAUUGGAUUAACUUGAAGCAUAAAUAUAUAAGCUCUAGCAACUUCAAGCAGCUUUUCCUUCUUCAUCCCAACCCUUCUUUUCAUUUCACGUUUUCUUCAUUCUCCAUGGGAGCAAACCUUGAAUCCUCCAUAAAUCUCUCAUAGAAAGUCCAAGUUUCAUGUUUUUGCCCACUCCUUCGUAGGGUUUUUCAUGCUCUUCCACUUUUACACCUCAAUAGCUUUCAAAAGUCUUUCUUUAGUACAUUCACUCACUAGCUGGACGUGUAGAGAGACAGAGAGAGAGUGAGUGAUUUCCCUUAUUAGCUUGAAGAAUUUUGAAAGAGAAUUCAACUACAAAGACCAUCAAGGCGAGUAAUGAAGUAGAGUUGAUUUUUAAGUAUUGAGAAUGCCUAGUGAUUAGAUUUGGGAGUGUUUUAUUGUUGAGGUUAUUUAUUCAAUUUUAGUGUGACUAGAAUAGUGCAAAUAAUAGCCAUUUAAUAGUAGUUGGAAGCUAGUUAAGGAUGACUAGUAGAACUUGAUUUAAGAAAUAUCUUUUGGAAUGGUAUUAAUGCCAAGUUGGACUGAUGGCAAUGUUGUUGCAUGUGAUAGGUUCUAACGAAAACCCCACACCUCUAUUCGGAACAUUAGUCGAAGUUAGAGCCCACCAAAACAUCAACAAAGACUAGUGAGUGAACUUGCAUAAAAGAAUGUUUUGGGAUAUACACAUGUAUGUUUGAUUGAAUCCCUUAAAGUGUUUUAUUGGUUCUUUCUUCAAAACUUGCACGGGAACAAGCCCUUAUGAAAAUGUUUUUAUGUUAUGAAAUGGAUAGUGUAAUGAAUCCAUAUGUUUUUGUAUAGUGUUGAUAUAUAUAUAUAUACAUAUUAUGUCAAACAUGGUACCAUUGUGUGACAAAUGCAAUCGUGCAUGUGCGUGGUGAGUGUGCACCUGCCGGUGAUGAGGGUUGUGAGGGAGAUGGAUGGUGAUAUUGCCCAUGUGCACGAUGUGGGGGGAUGUACACGAUGGCAUUAGUUAUGCAUAAUGUGGGGGUAUGCAUGCGAUGACUCAGCUAUGUGCACGAUGUGGGGGGAUGCACAUGAGCUGGGUGAGAUGGGGUGGUAUACGAAUUGAUAUAUGUUUAGGUAUAUGUAUAUGCAAUAGAAAGAUCAUGAUUGUAAUAUGUGAUUGUAUGACGUGAUGAAUCUUGAAAAUUUCCCAGUUACUUGCAAAUUGAUUUUAUUGUAGCAUCAAAUGGAUGUUUAGUGCAAAAGAGGUCCCUCUUUAUUUAGGUGCCCUGCUUCUCGUUGCAACAAGAAUGCUUUCUCACUGCAGCGAGAAACAUUUUGUUUUGCCGCUUGAAUCUCGCUGCAGUGAGAAACUUUCUAUUCUACAUGCUACCUUGUUGGUUUUUGCCACAUUUAUCACAUAUAGUUAUGUGAUUAAGUAUGCAUAAAAUGACAAUAUAUAUUCCUUGACCAAUCCAAUUGGCUCUAGAGCAUAUACCAACAAUUUCCUUCUAAUUCAGGUGCGUAGGGGUUUCUUUUAUUCUACUCAUUUUUAUUUUUCGGUUUUCCUUACUGAUGAUGCUUAGUCUCUCUAAUUGCUUUGCAAUGUCGCUUUUUCUAUUUUUUAGUUAACAACUAUGUUUCUUUCUAUUUUCGUAUGUCCUUUUAGAUGGUUCUCGAAGGUUUUUCUUUGACUAACAUUUUGUUUUUCUUUUAGGUCUUUUUUUGUAGUUUCCAUAGAGGUUUUAUGUCGCCAAUGGUGGUUUUUUUUAUAUUAUGGUAUUUCUCUUUUUCGAGUUUUUCCAAAGGUAGCAUGCACUUUGUCUUUAACACUCGAUUUUGGUUCUUUAUUAUAUAUUAGUUUCCCAUGAAUAAAGGUUUAAUUUAUUUUGGUGGUGCUAUGAUUUUUAAUUUUUAUUAUUUAUUCCAUGGAUAAAAAAGUACUUUGAAUGCAAGAUCCUAGAAGGAGAUAAUUUGUUGUUUGGUUUCAGCGAGAGUGGUAAGGGCUAGGUUUUAGUGACAUUGGUAAUGAGUUAGGUUCCCUUUUGGAUGUUAGGACAUCAUGUACUUUUCAAACAUUUUAGAUAUUGCCCACAAUCUUGCACUACCGCCAUUUUUUUUUACUUUAUACUAUGACACUCCACUUACUUUGUAUUGUGGCAUAUUUAUAUUCUUCAUUCCUUUGUAAAGACAUGUAUCUUUUCAAUAUCUUUUAUUACAUGCAAAAAAGCUCUUCAUCCUUUUAUACACUUUAAAAAAAAACAUAAGAACUCUAUAGUACUGGUGGCAGUUAUUCUUUCUUCAUCUUUUUUUGCUGUUUAGUACUAACUUUAUGUGAGACCUCGAUCUCUAUAGACCUGUAAAUAGAAGUAGACCCAAUAACACGAAUUAGGGGUAUUUUCAUCAUUUCCUUUAAUAUGCUCCCAAAAGUAGGUUUUCUAAUGUUAUUUAAGUCCAAGUGGUCUCUAAGGAAAAAUAAAUGACAUAUAAUGAUGAAAAGCACGAAGGAAACAGAAAUGACAGUAAUUUUCGUAGUAGGGGCAAAAUGGUCAUUUUUCAUCUUGGGUCAAAAUUUUUAAAUUUUUGUGAACCCGAGUAUUUCUAGACUAUUAUGGACCUUGUCCCAGUGUUAAUAGAGUAAAAAGAUUGCAUCAAGGAUUAGUGGAGAACAAGCUAACUUGUUAAGGGCAUUUUCAUAAUUUAAGUGGAGUUGGAUAAGCUUGAGCUAUAAAUAUCAUCUUCCAGUAGCUUCUUCUCAAACCUCUAGUAGCUUCUCAUUCUUCGUCUUUCUCCCCUCUUAUGUUUUCUUCCUCUGUGGAAGCCUCCCUAAUAGCUUCCAUAACUCUCUCAUAUUAACUUCAAUUUUUUUGUUUUUGUACCCUUGUCAUAGAACCUUUGUGCCCUUUCACUCUUUUACCUUGGAAAGCCUAAAAAGCCUUACUCUAAUACUUUCUCUCACUAGUUAGGCAUUCUAGAGAGAGAGAAAGGACUUUUCAGAUUUGUUUGGAAGCUAUUGGAAGAGAAUUCAGCUACAAAGAAACCCUAAGGUGAGUGAUGAACUAGGCUUGGUUUUAAGUUGUUGAUAAUGACUAGUAAUUGUGAUUAUGAGCUGUUUUAUUGUUGAGGUUGUUUAUUGAUUUUUAGUGUGAUUAAAGUAGUGUUAGGAAUGACUAGCAGAACUUGAAUUAGAAACUAGCUUUUGGAGUGAUAUUAAUGUAAAUUGGAUUGGUAGUGAUGUUUUUGUGCGUGAUAGGUUCCAACGAGACCCACAGCCCCAUUUGAACCAUUAGUGGAGGUUAGAGUCGAUUAAAGGUUUAACAAUACCGGUGAGUGAACUUGCAUUUCAAAAUUGUUUUGGAAAAUAGAAUUGUGUUGAGAUGAAUUAUUUGCAUGAUUUUAUCCAACUUUUCAUUAAAAAUGGGUGCAUGGGAACAAGUCCUUGAUAAAUGCUUUGAUGUCGUAAAAGGUGUGAAAUGUGUAAAGAGGAUGAAUUCAUGUGCUCCUAUAUUGUGUUGGUAUACGUAUUUGAAUGUAUGUUGUGCAAUGAUAAAUAAUGUUGUAUGAUGAUAAUGAGGUGUGCGAGUAGGGAGUGCACACAUGAUGACAUUGAAAUGUGUGAGUAAGGAGUGCACAUAUGGUGGUAUUGCCUUGUGCGUGUAGGGAGUGCACAAGAGCUGAGGAAGGCGAGGUGGUGUAGGUGUUAUAUAUGAUUAUAUCUAUAGAUAUGUGAUAGAAUGUGUGUGAUUGUAAAAUGUGAUUGUAUGGCAUGUUGAAAUUAGCAUCAUGAAUCUUAAGAAUUUCCCAUUUUCUUGCAAAGUGAUUUUAUUGCAGCACCAAAUGGAUUUUUAGUGCAAAGGAGGUCUUUUUUACAUUUAGGUGCCCUGUUUCUCACUGCAGCAAGAAACAUUCUGUUUUGGCCCCCAACAACUCACUGUAGUGAGAAACUCUCCGAUUUUGGUGUAGUACUUCCACUUUAUCGAAGCUUUUGACCACCUUUCGUUCAAAACUGGGUAAAGUAAACAUCAAAGUUGAAUCCCAGCCUCUUAGCUUUCUAAUGGUCUAAAAUCAAGUCAAUUGGACUUCUGUAGUAGGAGAUAUGUUGGAAAAACCAAAACAUAUGCAAACUAAGACUGUUUCUCGCUGCAGCGAGAAACUUGCUGUCCUGCUUGCUACCUUGUUUGAUUUUGACAUAUUUUCCACCCAUUUAACUUCAUGGAUUGAUCACGAGUUUUUUUCAACACUACGGGGUUAUUAAUCAAUGUUUGAAACGAAGGGUUUUUAGUAAGAAAUUAACUCAAUUGCAUUGUUUUCGAAACAAGUGCAUCAUGUUUUCUAAAACAUUCCUUGUUGUUGCUUGUUCCCUUCUCAUGUUCACUCACUGAGUUUGUACUCACUGUUUUCAAUUUCAUGUUUUCAGAUCAGGAGGCAAUUGGAACCUAAGUCGAGCUGUCCACGUAGUUUUGUCUCCUUGGUACGUAUUUGGGAUUCAGUAGCCGCACCUUCACUAUGGUCACUCCGUUGGAAGUCAAGAGUCAUUUUGUUUUAACUGUUAAUGCCACCAUGAGUUGAAAUGUUAACAUCAUUUUAGGUUUAUAUUAAUGAAAUUCUUGAUUGCUAUAGCCCAUUAUUAAAGUGAUUAUAAGUUGGACUUAUGAAAGGUGACUUGAGAAUAGUUGAUGGAAUGUUGAGCAAGAUUAUAUAAUAAGCUUGCUUGGGCUUGGUGGGCUAUGCUCAUUGGGCCCAUGCGCCGAUCAUGGCCCGAAAAUUGGGUCGUGACACUUUAGGACUUUAAAUUGCAUUACAUUUUAGUCAUUGACUUUCAUUUACUCAUUGUUUUUUCUUAAAAUGAAAAUUGAUUUUGCAAAUGUGCUUCUUAAUUUGUGAAAGAAAAUAGUCACUUGUCCUAAACAAUGUUACCAUAUCCAACUAUGCUUAGCUUUGCAUGGUUUGUCAAUUAAGUAUAAAUGGAUAGAACAUUUCUUAUUGCACUCAUUUCCAUUUUGAGAAAAAGUGUCACGACUCAGAACUCCCCAUCGGGCCCGUGACAACCGCCGUGAGGCCUCGACAGACAUUCUUCACCCCGAAUGCCGAUCGAAACCUCGCAAGGCUCUCGUAUCAGCUUUCGCACUUCGCCGGUGAGCAAUAGUUAUCAAAUAUCAAAAUUCGAAGGAUUACAAAUCAUUUCCAAAUCAGAACAAAACAUAUUGUUUUCUAGCCCACAGGGGCAUUUUCGUCAUUUUUGUCGAAAACCUCGAAACUUGCUAAAAAUAUAGUAGGUAAACUGAAAAUAUAUAUUUAAUGAUUUAAAAACAAAUUAAGUAUCUAAAACGUUCAUUUGAAGUGAAAAUUUGACCAUUUGAAUAUAAUAAAAAUAUUCAAUAAAAUAAACUAUUUUCUUGUAAAAUAAUUUUCAUAAAACUAUCGGUACAUAAUUCUUAUAGUGUAAAAGUUAAUUAUAUUCAUAAAUAUUAUACAGCAAAUAACUAAAGCAUAAAAUUUCUUUUACAGUGACACGUGGGCCCACAUCUAUCCAAAAUGCAUCGAAAGCUGGAAACCUACAGCUUUUACCGAUUCGAGUCCAAAUGAAGAUCCUUGUCAAAGUCAGCUAACUAUGGAAUUCCCCGAGCUUGAAAUGUGAGGAAAUGAGGGUGGUGAGAUUAUAAAAUCCCAGUAAGUAAACAGAUACCAUCUAAACUAUCUAAAGUCGAGUAAAUGGAGACAAUUAAAAUAAGUCAUCAUACUGUAAUUUCAUUACCUUUCAACCAAAUAAAAUCAAUCCAUGAAAAUCGAGUAAUCAACUUGGCUUAUGAAUUUCUUAAACCUUUGGCUCGUGCCAAAACUCAUACUCGAUGAUACCUUGCCCAGGGCAUCCAACUGAGUCAGCCAAGGCUGUUAAAAUUUCGUAUACACUUAAAAUAUAUUUUUAGUUUGAGAAAAAUAUAGUCGUUCCUUGGUGUUGGCUGAGUUCCCCUUCACGUGGUGGUUUGGCGUGAAGUGAACCCUAAGCUUUACCCUAGGAGAUACCCUACGCGCCUCUCCGUUCGAGGUAAGAAUAUAAUGGAGUUUACCGUGCCCCUCUUAUAGGCUGGUCCACGAAACCCCCUUUGUAGUGAAUAAUUAAUAUAUAAUCCACCAAUCAAUAAAAUUCAUUCUAGCAUGACAUGCGAUUUAUUGCAACCUAGCCUCUCAAGACUGAAUACACAGUAUAAAUAAUUCUAACACCAAAAUCAGUUUAGCCAUUCAUGCUCAUAUAUUGUCAUAAGCUAUUCAAUUUAAAACCAUAAAUUUACAACACAAGCGGGCAGUCUCCAAUUACUCUAUUUUGAAAACCAGUAUUCGAUUUUUCAGAAAAUUUAUACAAUCAUUUUAUAAACUCACAAUAUUUCCUAAAACAUAGCAAUUUACCAUGCAAACCCAUUUUUCAUAAAAUCACACAAUUGUAUAAAACUACUCCAGAUAAUUAAGACGAUAAUAAGUUCACUCACUGUUCUAGAAGUCGAUGUACUCCUAAUCCCAAUCUCCAAGCACAAUCUCUGUGCUUUUACCUGUGUAAUUUGCUCACCACCUAUCCACAAUGUACAGUAUAUAAUUCAUCACAUCAAUGCUUGACCAUUAUAAAAAUCAAUUCAGGCUCGAUAUAGAUGCAUGAUAUGAUAUAAAACUUAUUCGACUACCGCUUAAAUGCGGUGCUGACCUAAUUCGGCCUAUUAUCUCCAAUUUAACUCCAAAUCAAUUCUUCUCACUUUCUACACUCCAAUUAUACUUAAAUUACCUUAGUGACUAUGAAUGAGAUUCAAUUUAUCAGUCCCAGUAGCAAAUUACGAAAAUACCCCUAGUGGGUAAAAAUUCAUAUUUUUGCUCCGAAAAUUCCCAUUAUUUUUCUAAGCUCAUAAUUCAUCAUUAUUCAUCAUAAUUCCGCAAAUAAACAUCAAGAUCAUCAGCCAAUAUUCCCCUAGAAAAUUCGGCCAAUAAUGGUAAUGGAGGAAAAUAAAUUCUUUUCAUGUUGUUUUCUUCCUAAAUAUGCUAAACUAACUAAAAACACUAACAUAACUUAAAAUCAAAUUAAUCUAACAACAAUUCCUCUUCCAUACCCAUUUUUCAGAAUUGAAUUCAUCAUAAUAACUCAAUAUUCAACCAUGGAAAUCAAGAACAAAAGAAUGGGUAAGCUAGGUAUCAAGGAGAACUAAAGAAAUUCUAACUUACCUAGUUUGUUUACUUGAUUUCUUCACUUUUUCUUUGAAUUUUCACCUAGGCUUUCUUGUUUUUCCCUUUGUUCUUCCUCUCUUUCUCUCUCUUCCUUGCUUGGCCGGCCAUAUGAAGAAAAUGGGCUGAUUUUAUGCCUUUUUAUAAAGAAACAAUAAAAUAAUAAAGGUAUGACACAUGGCAUUUUCUUAUUGGUCUAUUUUUAAAAUUUUAAAAUUUUAAUCCUUUUUAUCUCCACCGCACAGUUAGUCAAUGGUCAAAAUGAGAAUAAAGGAAGACCAUGUGCUGGAAAAAUGUCCUGGUGGUGGAAAAUUACAAUUUUACCCCUAGGGUGGUAAAAUUAUCAUUUUACCCCUAUACUCCAAAUUAUACCGAAAUUAAAGUUUUUCACUUCUAAACCUCAAAUCUUACUCCAAUAAGUCAAAUGGGGCCAAAAAAAUCUUUUUUAAAAUUCCCAUUUUGUCCCCAGGUGGCAAAUGACCAUUUUGCCCCUAGAUAGCGAAAAUUCCGGUUUGACUCCAAAUUGAUCCUCGAACUCCGAAUCACCAUAUUAAACCAUUCUAGGACUUUAAAAUUCUUAAUUUCAUCGUAAAUUCUCUAUUUGAUCUAGUUCGAGGCUUAAAUCAACUUUGUUGUACGUCUAGGUACAAUACCGACUUUUGUAAAUUUUUCGGGACUCUCCUAGCAUGCAAACAUGCUAUCAAUCACAUGUAUGUCAUGACAAAUAUUUUUAUAGAGUCGGGCUUGUCAUCUUCUCCCCCACUUGGAUCAACCAUAUGAUCCUUCUUCAUGACUGAUUUCGACAUCCGGCUAAAUAUUAAUAUUUUAAUAUUAUUUUAUUAAUAAAAUAUUAUUUUAUUCUAAAAAUUUUAUCUUGUCUCCUUGGUACCCAAAAUACCUUAUUAUGCCUCACUUGACUUCCAAAUCGCCUUUUAUCUCACAAAUUCUCCUCCGAUAAAAUUAUUAUUAUUUUAUUAUUAUUUUCUCACUUGCGAAAUAUUUUAUCCUAAACUACUCCUUUCGUCUUUUAUCACUUCUAAACAUUUUAAUUGACCUCAAUUUGCAUUCGAUCAACUUUAUUUAUCACCAUAUCAAAGUAUGGGGUAUUUCAAUUUCCCCCACUUAAAUAGAAUUCGUCCUCGAAUUCCCGUCGAUGUUGCGUUAUCAAUCUCCUUCUAUGAUCCUACUCCUUGUUCCUUCUAUAGGGACAUUCAAUUUAUUUACCUCGUUCACCUUCAGUUCAAUUAAAUGCUUUAUUUAUGGCAAUUAUCAUCCUUUGGAACCGGAUCAGUAAUACUUUUCACAACCAUGAUCUCUUAUAUCUAGACACUAAGCAUGCCUUUAUCACCAUUAUUACAUUUGAACCAUAACUUCAUCUCAAUUAUACCGAUUUCGAUCACAUAUCAUACUUACUUAUGUAUACCUAUUCAUCAUUUUAUUAAUUUGCUCCAUACCAAUUUUCUCAACCUUGAUUCAUCCAUCUUAUACUGGUCCAAACCCUUCCUUUAAUAGAGUUCCAUUAAGAACUUAAACAAUCCAAGGUUUACCUUCAAAGUCAUUCAUAACUUUAAUCGUUCAUUGCAUGUCCGUUAACACUUUAGCUCACUGACCUCUCUGGACACUAUUUCAAAAUCUCCCAAUUACUGAGAACCAUUCUUCACUUUAGUUAGUAAAAUUAUCAAUUUCAUAUAUACAUAUAUACAUGCAUUUUCAAAUGUCAACAUCUCUCUUUAUAUAUAGGAAUCCAUGUGUUCACAUGCCUUGGACUACAUUCCCCCUUUAUUCAUCCGUAUCCCAAUCCUAGUUUCAAUAUAAUAAUUCUUAUAGUGCAUGUCAACCUUCUUAUUAUACUUGUGUAUAACUUCAUAUCAUUCAUAUCAUUUCCAACCAUAUGUUUGAGUUUCCUUAUACUAUAUAUCAUUCAUCACAAUGUCAUCUCCAUUGAAUUAUAAUCUAUUAUGCGUGUAUGCUUUAUAAUCCUAUUGAUGCCUCAAAGAUUUAUCUCAACUUGAUCAUUGCAUCUCAUGCAAUACCACAAUUCCUAAGAGUCAUCCUUUUGUCCUUAAUCAUCUUUCAUGCCUCUAUAUUACCUUGUAUCUUUCUUGCAUUACGAUAUUGAUUUGUCACUUAAGACUCGAACCCAUUUGAAUCAUGUAUGCCUUAAGCAUUUUCGAAUUCCAAUUUCCAUAAUAUAUUAGGAAAGUUUCAUUAUCUGACUUCAUUUUCAAGGUCAACUUCUAUCAUCCUUUGUUCCACUCCUUCAUAUGAACAUAACAUCAUUCUUCCUUAACUAAUUUAUAAAUUGUACUUGAAAUUGUAAAACUUAAAACUAGAUUCUCCUCAAGUAUUUUUCAAUAUUAAUACUAAUAUCACUCUCAGCUUACAGCUUCCUUUUUAUAAUCACAUAACUUAGUGCUUGCUUUAACGAGAUCCAGAGCAAAACUUCUCUUGAGUAUUUCCUUGGGAAUAUCUAUCUUAAACUUAUGUCUCACAGCAUGUGAUCCCUUAACUUGUGAUUUAGCCGUUAGGCUUCUCAGCAAGUUUUAAAAAUUUUACGUUUCAUACUUGCUGUGUAUGAUUAGAAUCUCUUCUCAAAGAUGUUUAUGUAUUCCUAAAACACUUACUCUUAAAGAUAUAUAAAUACGUACUCAUCCAUUCAAUCCCUAACUCAUCUUCAUAGGUUUCUAGGGUGUCACACAAUUAGCCUCAUGUUGUUCCUAACUCUUGUCAUUUUACUGUAUCAAAACAGAUAUUACAAAUUCUCGUAAUGAUAUUCUAUAUAAACUGAUUUUCUAUACCAGUCUCGUAAUUCUUCCUUCACACUUUCAUUAUUUGGUAUCUCAUCUCAAUAUAGUCAUUUCAAGAAUCUUUCAAUUUUUUUCUUUUAAUUAUAUGCCUAUAUACAAGGCAAUAAAGAAGUUUUUCAAUUCAUUUGGGUAAACAUUCUCCAAAAUAUUUAAGACUCCCAGAUAACAAAACACAAUGACCAAUAACCAAAAUUCAAUUUGUAAGCUCAUUAUCGUGUCACUCCCAUCUUACUCAUGUAUCAUAACCGCGAGGUAUUCUGAGCAGUAUAAUGUUGAACAGUCAAUGCUGAAGUACUGUAGCUAUUAGAAAUUUUCUCAUCAAAGCUAUUUGUCUGCAUUCAAAGUCACCACAUCAAUCAUUCUCAACCAGUGGUUUCCCUUCUAGAUAUAUAUCAUGAGUUCCAUAAGUAUAGGUACCUUUUAUUUUCUUGUCCUACACACUAAGCCAGAUUAAUACUUUCAUCUCAUGUCAUCUUUUGGCUUUUAUCAUCAUUCAUAAAAUUUCACCUCAAAACAUCCUUUUCAUAUAGUGUAAUAAAUUCAUGAUACAUAUACCACUCCACACAUAAGUUGCUUACUAUCUACAACUUUCCUCAAAUUUAUCGUCAUCCCUAUCCAAUUAUCUUCUUUGUCUUAUACUCCAAUAAUCUUAUUGACUUUCGGUAUAAUUAACUACGAAAACAACCCAGCUUCCUCCUCACUUUAUUCUCACAAUCUUUAUUGAAUCAAAAUUUUAUAUUCCCCAUAUUCCAUAAUUUAACUUCAUUGGGUUAUAUUUGUGCCCAACUAUUACCUCAUAGUGUCAUAACAUCACUGAAUAAUCCCCUUCAUGCUUAAAUUACAAUCAUUAACGUAAUCACAUUAUCUAUUCCGAAUGUCAUUUAUAACCUGAUUGCUUCCUUCUAUAACCUUCCUCAAUAAUUAUAUUACCAAUUUAUCCCUAUCAUACUAAAGAUUCCCAUAUACCUUCAGUUACUUAAACGGCCAUUUUAUAAUACAUUCUAGUCCUAUACUUUAAAAGCCAAACUAUUUUUACUUCUUUGUACAGAUAAUUAUUAUCUCUUUUACACAACAUCUACUUAGAGUUAAGGUAAUGUAAAAUCCUACGAAAAUAUUACAUGUCCUUGGGAUCAUCAUCUUAAUCUGAUCUUAUCGAAAGAUUCUACUUUGAGUCCUCUUAAAGAUCCUCUUCCGGGUUUUCCUCCUCUUGAGAUUUUUUUCUUUGCUUUUCAAUCCAGGCUUGUUGUCUUCUCCUAAUUUCCUCGGCACUCACCGGUGUAGCAUUUCUUCCACAUCCAGGAGGAAAAUGGCAUACAACGUUUACCCCCUUCCUAAGACGAAUAUCUCUCCUUGCAAUUGCCUUCCUCGUAUGUUCUUUAUGGUACUAUUCAGAUUGUUUCAAAAGAAAAUCUCUUUUAGUUUUCGAAAAAUUAGAGCUACUUUCACUUUCAAAAUUCUCGUUAUUCUCAAAACUUUCCUUAUUACGAACCCGCUCUACUAAGUUCGGAGGAAUUCUAUUAUCAGGAAUUCGAGACGGACCACCUUCCGAAUGACCUAGAUCAAGGCGCCAUUUGCUUCUAGCCAUAGAAUCUAGAGAUCCCUCGCUAUCACUAUGAGAGGUAUCGGGACUACCACCUCUUCUAGACAUGGUGUGUAUAUCACCAGUGCACCUCAAAACCUAUAUGCAAUCAAAUAGUAAUUGCUUAAUUAUUUAUGCAUCUCAAAAGUAGGUAGAUUUCUAUAUGUAGAUGCAUACAUUCUAUUUAAUCUAACCUAACUUAACUUAUCUUAACUGAACUGGACUUGAAGCCACACAGUGUCAGUGUGGAUUUCUUAAAACAACCUUAAAAUCAAAAACUUUAAAAUCCAAAGCUUUAAAACCAAAAUCUUUGAUCUUUAAACCAUGCUCUAAUACCAAUCUAAAUUGUCACGACCCGGAACCCCCCAUCGGGCCCGUGACAACCAUCGCGAGGCCUCGACAAACAUUUUUCACCCCGAAUACCGAUCGAAACCUCGCAAGACUCUCGAAUCAGCUUUCGCACUUCCCCGAUGAGCAAUAGUUACCAAAUAUCAAAAUUUCAAGAAUUACAAAUCAUUUCCAAAUCAUAACAUAACAUAUUGUUUUCUAGCUCACAAGGGCAUUUUCGUCAUUUUUGUCGAAAACCUCGAAACUUGCUAAAAAUGUAGUAGGUAAGCUGAAAAUAUAUAUUUAAUGGUUUAAAAACAAAUUAAGUAUUUAAAACGUUCAUUUGAAGUGAAAAUAUGACCAUUUAAUAUAAUAAAAAUAUUCAAUAAAAUAAACUAUUUUCUUGUAAAAUAAUUUUCAUAAAACUAUCGGUACAUAAUUCUUAUAGCGUAAAAGUUAAUUAUAUUCAUAUAAACUAUAAAGCAAAUAACCAAAGCAUAAAAUUUCUUUUACAGUGACACGUGGACCCACAUCUAUCCAAAAUGCAUCGAAAGCUGGAAACCUACAGCUUUUACCGAUUCGAGUCCAAAUGAAGAUCCUUGCCAAAGUCAGCUAACUAUGGAAUUCCCCGAGCUUGAAAUGUGAGGAAAUGAGGGUGGUGAGAUUAUAAAAUCCCAGUGAGUAAACAGAUACCAUCUAAACUAUCUAAAGUCGAGUAAAUGGAGACAAUUAAAAUAAGUCAUCAUACUAUAAUUUCAUUACCUUUCAACCAAAUAAAAUCAAUCCAUGAAAAUCGAGUAAUCAACUUGGCUUAUGAAUUUCUUAAAACUUUGGCUCGUGCCAAAACUCAUACUCAGUGAUACCUUGCGCAAGGCAUUCAACCGAGUACGCCAAGGCUGUUAAAAUUUCAUAUACACUUAAAAUAUAUUUUUAGUUUGAGAAAAAUACAACCGUUCCUUGGCGUUGGUUGAGUUCCCCUUCACGUGGUGGUUUGGCGUAAAGUGAACCCUAAGCUUUACCCUAGGAGAUACCCUACGCGCCUCUCCGUUUGAGGUAAGAAUAUAAUGGAGUUUACCGUCCCCCCUCUUAUAGGCUGGUCCAUGGAACCCCCUCUGCAGUGAAUAAUUAAUAUAUAAUCCACCAAUCAAUAAAAUUCAUUCUAGCAUGACAUGGUAGUUUAUCGCAACCUAACCUCUCAAGGCUGAAUACACAGUAUAAAUAAUUCUAACACCAAAAUCAGUUUAGCCAUUCAUGCUCAUAUAUUGUCAUAAGCCAUUCAAUUUAAAACCAUAAAUUUACAACACAAGCAGGCAGUCUCCAAUUACUCUAUUUUGAAAACCAGUAUUCGAUUUUUCAGAAAAUUUAUAAAAUCAUUUUAUAAAAUCACAAUUUUUACUAAAACAUAGCAAUUUACCAUUUAAAACCCAUUUUUCAUAAAAUCACACAAUUGUAUAAAACUACUCUAGAUAAUUAAGACGAUAAUAAGUUCACUCACUGUUUUAAAAGUCGAUGUACUCUUAAUCUCAGUCUCCAAGCACAAUCUUUGUACUUUUACCAGUGUACUUUGCUCACCACCUAUCCACAAUGUACAGUACAUAAUUCAUCACAUCAAUGCUUGACCAUUAUAAAAAUCAAUUCGGGCUCGAUAUAGAUGCAUGAUAUGAUAUACAACUUAUCCGACUAUCGCUUAAAUGCGAUGCUGACCUAAUUCGGCCUAUUAUCUUCAAUUUAACUCCAAAUCAAUUUUUCUCACUUUCUACACUCCAAUUAUACUUAAAUUACCUUAGUGACUAUGAAUGAGAUACAAUUUAUCAGUCCCAGUAGCAAAUUACGAAAAUACCCCUAGUGGGUAAAAAUUUAUAUUUUUGCUCCGAAAAUUCCCAUUAUUUUUCUAGGCUCAUAAUUCACCAUUAUUCAUCAUAAUUCCUUAAAUAAACAUCAAGAUUAUCAGCCAAUAUUCCCCUAGAAAAUUUGGCCAAUAAUGGUAAUGGAGGAAAAUAAAUUCUUUUCUUAUUGUUUUAUUCCUAAAUAUGCUAAACUAACUAAAAACACUAACAUAACUUAAAAUCAAAUUAAUCUAACAACAAUCCCUCUUCCAUACCCAUUUUUCAGAAUUGAAUUCAUCAUAAUAACUCAAUAUUCAACCAUGGAAAUCAAGAACAAAAGCAUGGGUAAGCUAGGUAUCNNNNNNNNNNNNNNNNNNNNNNNNNNNNNNNNNNNNNNNNNNNNNNNNNNNNNNNNNNNNNNNNNNNNNNNNNNNNNNNNNNNNNNNNNNNNNNNNNNNNNNNNNNNNNNNNNNNNNNNNNNNNNNNNNNNNNNNNNNNNNNNNNNNNNNNNNNNNNNNNNNNNNNNNNNNNNNNNNNNNNNNNNNNNNNNNNNNNNNNNNNNNNNNNNNNNNNNNNNNNNNNNNNNNNNNNNNNNNNNNNNNNNNNNNNNNNNNNNNNNNNNNNNNNNNNNNNNNNNNNNNNNNNNNNNNNNNNNNNNNNNNNNNNNNNNNNNNNNNNNNNNNNNNNNNNNNNNNNNNNNNNNNNNNNNNNNNNNNNNNNNNNNNNNNNNNNNNNNNNNNNNNNNNNNNNNNNNNNNNNNNNNNNNNNNNNNNNNNNNNNNNNNNNNNNNNNNNNNNNNNNNNNNNNNNNNNNNNNNNNNNNNNNNNNNNNNNNNNNNNNNNNNNNNNNNNNNNNNNNNNNNNNNNNNNNNNNNNNNNNNNNNNNNNNNNNNNNNNNNNNNNNNNNNNNNNNNNNNNNNNNNNNNNNNNNNNNNNNNNNNNNNNNNNNNNNNNNNNNNNNNNNNNNNNNNNNNNNNNNNNNNNNNNNNNNNNNNNNNNNNNNNNNNNNNNNNNNNNNNNNNNNNNNNNNNNNNNNNNNNNNNNNNNNNNNNNNNNNNNNNNNNNNNNNNNNNNNNNNNNNNNNNNNNNNNNNNNNNNNNNNNNNNNNNNNNNNNNNNNNNNNNNNNNNNNNNNNNNNNNNNNNNNNNNNNNNNNNNNNNNNNNNNNNNNNNNNNNNNNNNNNNNNNNNNNNNNNNNNNNNNNNUCUUGUCUCCUUAGUUCCCAAAAUACUUUAUUAUGCCUCACUUGACUUCCAAAUCGCCUUUUAUCUCAUAAAUUCUCCUCCGAUAAAAUUAUUAUUAUUUUAUUAUUAUUUUCUCACUUGCGAAAUAUUUUAUCCUAAACUACUCCUUUCGUCUUUUAUCACUUUUAAACAUUUUAAUUGACCUCAAUUUACAUUCGAUCAACUUUAUUUGUCACCAUAUCUAAGUAUGGGGUAUUUCAAGAAGAAAGGUGUUUUUACACAAAUGAGAAAUUGAAACCAUGCUUCUUUUAGAAAAAGUGCUUCAAGUUAAUGCUUAAGUGUAAUUGUGGAGCAAAAUUUUAUCAGGUUUUGUUUCUAACUUGCACUUCUCUAUUUUUUUUUUCUUUGAAAUGAAGAUGUGAUGGUGCUAGUUACAUGUAAGAUGUGUCAUUGUAAAAAUGGUGUGAAAAAAUUGCCAAUCAUGGCAUUGAAUAUGAAUAAAUAGUGAUAGGUGGAAACCAUUUUUUAUUUAUUUGACAUUUUAUAUUUUAUAAUUUCAAAGGCAAUGACCUUGAUCUAAUAUUUCUUUGUUAGUUCCAAAUCUCAGGAAUUUGUGAAGACCAAGCAUUCACAAUUUCAUUACGAGUCAAAAUUGUAUCUACUUUUUCAAUGAAGAAGUAAGUCUAUGUCUCUCAUCUCUCUUCUUUUCUAUGUCUUUCUAUAAAAAUUAUCUUUACUACAUCAUAAUUUAACUAGAGUCUUCUUUGAGGAGCCUUUUCCACUACACUAUCACUAUACAAGAAAAAAAAAAAGAAAAACAUGCAAGUUGUGGUUUGAUGAAUGCUAGUAAUUUUCUUUGAUUUAUAAUUUUAUAAAUCAGAAUUCAUUAAAUUUGAUAUUGGACUUGGUAACUGUUGGUUCAGAAAGAGAAUAUCAAGUCUUCUUUUCCUUUCCAUAAAUCAACUAAGUCUUUAAACAAUUUGUUUAACACACAAGCGCAAACCUUUCUUUAGACAUGUUGGCUGGCAGGUUGAUGUUUUAUCUUGAAUAUUCUAUGCCUUUUUUUCUUUGUAAGAAUUUUUUAAAAAAGCACAUUAUCUUAAUAUUUAAAUAAAAUAUUCAACCUGAAAUGGUUUGGAGUCGAGGUAGUUUACAAUGUCAUGGUAUUCGACCUUCUUGGAUCUAGUCUAGAAGAUUUUUUCUACUACUAGAAUAGGAAACUUUCAUUAAAAAUAGUGUUGAUGCUUGCUCAUCAAUUAGUAAAUAUAUCUGACUUUUUUGUGCUAAAUAAUAAGUUUUCAACUUAUUUUUAUUUUUAAUUUUCCCCUUUUCCAACUUUUUUUUUUGUCUAGAUUAAUAAAGUAAAAUAUAUGCAUUCAAGAGGUUUUCUUCACCAUGAUAUAUGUUGAUGUAGCCAUCAAGUUAGACAAACUAGGGCUUAAAAACAAGGUAGUCACACCCUUAGUGCAAGUUAAAAAAAGUUGAAAGAAGUUUAAAUUAUUCUCUCUACUACUUUCUAUGUAGACUAUUAAUAUUUCUAUUGUUAUUUUGAAAAUCUCUAAACCCUAUAUUGAAUCGGGUUUAAUCUUUUAAUCUUUUGAAUUAAAUAUAGUAAGCGUUCCAUUUUCAUGUGCCUCUUCUGCAUUCUUCAACUUUACAUUCUAGUUUCUAUUCUCAUUUUACAUGAUUCUUGCUUGGAUGGUACUAAUGAUUCUGAUUGACCGAUAGAUGCUUAUGGGAGAAGGUGGCUCAUUUUCAGUUGGGGUCUAGGGAAAUGGAUGCACUCAUGGUAUGUAAGUUUUUUUUUUUUAUCUACCGUAACAUUCUCCUUUCUUGACAAUGUACAUUUGAUUUUAGCUAAUGUCAUUUUUCAAACAAAAUAUGUUGGAAGUAACAUCUUGCCCUAGACAUUUUCUUUGUAUAUUCUAUUCAAUAGAAAAUUGCUUUAUGAGUAGUUUCUUAUUGUUUGUAGAUGGCCUCAAAACAAUAAAGCAAGGUGUGUUGUUGGUGACUAUAAUAGGUAUGCCUCACUUUAAUGCAUUUGUAUGAAUCUAUGUUUGCUUCGUUUCAUUUCUCUACUUUGCAGCUAAUGAUUCAUCUUAAUGUAUGUCUUGUAACACCCCGUACUCUCGUAUAGAAGCCAAUAUGAUCUUAUCGAUAAGACGAAGGGUCCAUCAAUGUAAAUUUAAGUGCCAAAGAGCGGUGACAAAUGAAAGGAGUAUUUUGGAAUAAAAUAUUUCGCACGUAAUAAAAUAGUAAUUAAAUAAUAAUAUUUUUAUCAAGGAUAAAUUAGUAAGUUAAAAGGUGAUUCGGAAGUGAACCGAGGCAAAGUAAGAUGUUUUGGAGCCCUAGAAAGCUAGAGGAAAAUUUUGGAAUAAAUAAUAUUAAAAUAUUAAUAUUUUAUCUAUUGUCGAAAUUAAUCAUGAGAGAGGAUUAUAUGACUAAUCUAAGUGAGGGAGAAGAAAUAAGAAAGAAUUUCGAAGGAAAACGACGAUAAUGGGGGUCGCGUGUCUUUAUUAAAUAGAGCUUGAGCGGGUAAGUAUAUAUUUAAAUAUUAUGGUGACAUCUUGGUGAAGUGCAAAUUCUAUAUCCUAUUUGUAUAAGUGUAAAGGAAGGAAGAUAGAAGGACAUUGGAAUUAAAUAAACAUUGGAAGGACCAAAUUGUAAAGGAUGAAAGUUUAGAGGUUUGAAUGGCAAACAAGGAAAAGUUUGAGGGCUUGUGUGCAAUUUCAAUUUUUGAAGUUAAAUGGACAUUCACUAACCAAGGGAAGUUAGAUUAUGUGGAAUAUGAAAUAUACAUGUGAAUUCACUAUUACAAGCAAAUCAUUGCAUGCAAAAAGUAGAAAUUUAGUAAGAAACAUGUGGGAGCCCACCAUGUGAAAGUUGAUAAAGAGAAAAAGAACAAAGAGUAAUUAAGUGAAAGAAAACCAUGGUUUGUCAAGGAUAGCCCAUGGUAAACAAAGUAAGGUUGGCAAUGUGAUUUGAUAAGAAAAAGAAAGAAUAAUUUAGUUGCAUGAAAUCCUAUUGGUUUGAAGGGAAGUCAAAUAGGAAUCAAGAGUGGAAAAAUGCAUGAAGCCUUACUAGUUUAUGGGAUGGCAAAGGCUAUUGGUAAAGGAAAAAUUGUAUGAAACAAUAUUGAGUGAUAAAGUGGCCAAAUGAGGGAAUGACAAGUGGAAAUUAAAGGAGAUGAAAUACAUGUGAAAUGAAAUGCAAAUGAAGAAAGAAUGAAAGUGAAAGUGGCGGGUGGAAAGGUUUCAAAAGCCUUUUUGCCUUGUGAUUUUAACCACAAAAGAAAAAGGAAAAUGCCAAAAUAACUAAGCCUUGGGCAAUCUGCCCAUGAGAGAAGAAAAGGAAAGGAAAAGAAAAGAAAGUAAAGAAAAAAAUGUGACUUUGGGCAAUCCGUCCAUGUUUGGGUAAAAUGAGGAAGUGAUAGCCAUUUUCAAGGCUUUUGCCUUAAGAGGUCCGCCCAUCACAAAACAAAAAGAGAAGAAAAGAAACAUGCAAAAUGGACGUUCGGCCUUUAGAAGAAAAUGUGAAGAAAACAAGUGAGUUCAUGAGAGAUCAGCCCAUUUGUAAGGAAAAUUGUCACGACCCGGUACUCUCCUCAAGCCCGUGAUAAUCGCCGCGAUGUCCCGAUAGACAUUCAUUACCCUGAAUGCCAACCGAAACCUCGCAAGGCUUAAUAUCAAUUUUCGCACCUCCUCUGUGAGCAUAAUUACUAAAUAUCAUAUUUUAAAAGAUUAUAAGCUAUUUCCAAAUCAAAACAAUAAUAAAAAAAUAUUUUCUGUCUCACAAGGGCAUUUUGGUCAUCUUUCCCAAAAAUUUUGAAACUGGCUAAAAAUAUAAUAUAUAGGGGAAAAUACACAUUUCAUAACUAAAAACAAGUUUUUUAUGUCUAAAACAUUCAUUUAGGGUGAAUUUGUAGCUAAUAAAAUAAAAUAAAAAUAUUAAAUGAAAUAUUCCAUUUUCUUAUAAAACAAUAUUUAUAAAACUCUACGUAAAUAAUUUUUGUAGCGUAAAAGCAAAAUAAAUCCAUACAUACAGUAACACAGAUAACCAGAGUAUGUAAUUUAAUUUACAAUGAUGUGUGGGCCCUCGAAUGACCAAAGGUAACAAAGGCUGUGGACCUACAAUUUUUGAGGAGGUGAGUCCAAUAAUAACCCUCAACGUAAUCAGCUAUUUGUGGACUGUCCUGAUCUUGGAAUGAGUGGAAAGAAGGGUGGUGAGUUUAUAUAAACUCAGUGAGUAAACAAACAUCAUCUAAAAUAUCUAAAGCCGAGUAAAUGGAGACAACUUAAAAUAGUUCAUCGUACUAUGAUUCAUAACGUUUCAAACUCAUUUCAACUAAAUAAAAUAAUUCCAUUUCACUCAAAUAAUCAACAUUGCUUAUGAAUUUAUUAAAAAUUUGGCUCGUACCAAAACUCAUUCUCAGGGAUACCUUGGUCGGGGCAUCCAACCGAGUCCGCCAAGGCUGUUAAAGAAAAGUUCAUAUACGCAUAAAACACAUUUUUACGUUUAAAAGCAUAGCCGUUCCUUGGCAUUGGCUGAGUUCACCCUCACGUGGUGGUUUAGCGUGUAGUGAACUCUAAAGCUUUACCUCAGGAGAUACCCUCCGCACCUCUCGUAUUAAGGUAAAAUCUAAUCGGGUUUACCGUGCCCCUCUCUAAUAGGCUGGUCCACGAAAAUCCACCACAGCAGUGACUAAUCAAUAUCCCACCAAACCAAUAAAAGUUUCGACAGCAUGACAUGGCAAUUAUAUCACUACCUAGCCUGUUAUGUAAAGUCCGACCUUAUAAAAUGCUAUUCAUGACAUACAUGUGAUGAUAGCAUGAUUGCAUGUUAGGAGAGUCCCGAAAAAUUUACAAAAGUCGGUAUUGUACCUAGAGGUACAACAAAGUUGAUUUAAUCCUCGAACUAUAUCAAAUAGGAAUUUUAAAGUGAAAUUAAGAGUGUCACAGUCCAAGGAUUACUUAAAAUGGUAAUUCGGAGUUUGAGGAUCAAUUUAGAGUGAAACUGAAAUUUUCACUAUAUAGGGGUAAAAUGGUCAUUUGCCACUUGGGGAUAAAAUGGGAAUUUUAGAAAAGAUUUUUUGACCCGAUUUGACUUAUUGGAGUAUAAUUUGACUUAUUGGAGUAUGAUUUGAGGUUUAGAAGUGAAAAAUUUUAAUUUCGGUAUAAUUUGGAGUAAAAGGGUAAAGAGGUAAUUUUGCCACCCCAGGGGUAAAAUUGUAAUUUUCCACCACCAGGAUAUUUUUUCCAACACAUGGUCUUCCUUUAUCCUCAUUUUUGACCUUUGACUAAUCAUGUGGUGGAGAUAAAAUGUUUAAAUUUUUAAAAUUUUAAAAAUGGACCAAUAAGAAAAUGCCAUGUGUCAAGCUUAGGAUAUUUAAUAUUCGGGCAAGCAAGGAAGAAAAAACCCUAGGUGAGGAAUUUCAAGAGAAAAAGUGUGGAAUAUCAAGGAAAACAAGUGAAAAAGGUCGGAUUUUUCAACUUAAGCUUGAAAUCUAUUUUCCUUGAGCAUUUCUCCAUAUUUUCGAUGCUUAAAUUACAUGUUUUCAUGAUGAAUUGUUAGCUGAUCAAAAUGGGUUAGGAGAGAGACAGUUGUUAGAUUAAUUUGAUUUUAAGUUAUGUUAGUGUUUUUAGUUAGUUUAGCAUAUUUAGAAACAAAACAACAAGAAAAGAAUUUAUUUUCUCCCACAACCAUUAAUGGCCGAAUUUACCAUGUAUGAGUGAGGAUGAGUUUGAUUUUCAUUCUAGGAGAAUUGGUUAAGAAAUGAUGAAUUAUGAGCCUAGAAAAAUAAUGGGAAUUUUCGGAGCAAAAAUACGAAUUUUUACCCACUAGGGGUAUUUUCGUAAUUUGCUAUCGAGAUUGAUAAUUUGCACCACAUUGAGGGACAUUAAGUCAAUUUGGGUGCAAUUGAGGUAUAGAAACUGAAAAAAAAUUAAUUUGGCAUUAAAUUGGACGCGUUAGUAAUUUAAUCGGGUGAUAAGACAAAUUAGGCCAAUAUCGGGUUUAGAUAGUUACCAGUGCAUUUUUGCAUUUCAUAUCAUGCAUUAGUAGUCUAAAUUAGUUUAAUUUCAAUUUAGUACUAAUUUGGUGAAUUUCUCGAUUUUAUACUGUGUCAAGGUGGUGAGUCCUCCGAUAAAGGCAAGGAAAUUGCAUCCGAGGACCAAUAGACACAGUGCUUCGAAAGUUUGCAUUCUAGACAUUGUGAGUAAACUUACUGUCAUUUUAAUUAUCUAGGGUAGUUUUUAGAUGAUUUCAUGAAUUCUAUGGAAAAAGGAAUUUAACAAGGUAAAUUUUCAUGUUUUAUGAAUAAAUGUGUUUCAAUGAAAUUAAAUUAUAAAUUAUUUUGAAAUUAAUAAUGAUUUUGAAAAAUAGAGUACACGGAGACUGUUAAUUGUGGCAAUUUGAUUGUUUAAAUUGAUUGGCUUAUGAUAAAUCGGGCAUGAUUGGCUAGUUGGCAAUUGUUUUGAAAUACGAAUUGUUUGGUUGCCUUGAAAGACUAGAAAUUACAAAAUUGCCAUAUCAUGUUAUUGAGUUUUAUUGUAUGGUGGAUUAUAUAUUAAUUAAUCACUACAGUAAGGGGUUUUUGUGGACCAGCCUUUUAGAGGGGCACGAUAAACCCCAUUAUAUUCUUACCUCAAACGGAGAGGCGCGUAGGGUAUCCCCUGGGGUCAAGCUUAGGGUUCACUUCACGCCAAACCACCACGUGAGGGGGAACUCAGCCAACGCCAAAGAACAGCUAUGUUUUCAAAACCGAAACAUGAUUUAUGUGAAAUGUGAAUUUUAAUAGCCUUGACGGUCUCGGUAGGAUGCCUCGGCCACGGUGUCCCUAAGAAUGGAUUUAUGGCACAAAUCUAGUUUUUAUGAAAUUCAUAAGCCUCUUUACAUAUUUUAAAUGAAAUGUAUUCUAAUGCUGUGAUCCAGUUUACGAUGAUUUACUUUAUUAUCUCCAUGUACUCAACUCUAGAUAUUUAUGAUGAUGUCUAUUUACUCAUAGGGAUUUUAUAAUCUCACCACCCUCCUUUCCACCCAUUUCAGGUUCAGUAUAGACUGUAGAUAACUGAUCUCAUCGAGGACUACCAUUGGAUCUGCAUUUUCCAAACCGUAGGUUCACAGUCCUCUUUACUUUUGUUUAUUCGGGGGCCCUCUUGUUAUUGUAAAUUAAAUUAAUUAUUUUGGCUUACUGUAUUUCAGUAUGUAUAAAUUUAUUUAGCUUUUACGCUAUAAAAUUAUUCACGUAUAACUCUAUAAAUAUUGUUUUAUAAGAAAAUAGAAUAUUUUACUUAAUAUUUCUUUUAUUUUCUUAUUAUAUUCAAAUAACCGUAAUUUCGUUUUAAAUGAAGAUUUUAGACUUUUAAACUCAUUUUGAAUAUGAAUUAU
rnacentral:lncRNA from 1 species